ACGUACACUCCUACGGGAGGCAGCAGUGGGGAAUUUUACGCAAUGGGGGAAACCCUGACGUAGCGACACCGCGUGAGCGAAGAAGCCCUUUGGGGUGUAAAGCUCUGUCAGCUGGAACGAAAACAAUGACGGUACCAGCAGAGGAAGCAUCGGCUAACUACGUGCCAGCAGCCGCGGUAAGACGUAGGAUGCGAGCGUUGUCCGGAUUUAUUGGGCGUAAAGAGUUCGUAGGUGGUUUGUUAAGUUUGGUGUUAAAGAUCGGGGCUCAACCCUGGGACUGCACUGAAUACUGGCAGACUCGAGUGUGGUAGAGGCUAGUGGAAUUCCCAGUGUAGCGGUGAAAUGCGUAGAUAUUGGGAAGAACACCGGUGGCGUAGGCGACUAGCUGGGCCAUAACUGACGCUGAGGAACGAAAGCCAGGGGAGCGAAUGGGAUUAGAUACCCGUGUAGUCCCAUGAU
rnacentral:rRNA from 1 species